GCCCCGCUUCCCAAAUCGGCCCCAGCCCCUGCCUGGGUCCCCAUCCAGGACCCCUUUCCAGUCCCUGCCCCUGGCCUGGCCCCCAUCCCGGCCUCGGCCCUCGUUCCACUCCCUGUCACAAAUCCCAGCCCAGGCCCUGUCCCAACCCCAUUCCCAGUGUUUGCUUAAGGCCCUGGCUCAACCCCGUCCCUUGCUGCAGUCCCCAUCACAGCCCCUUCUUCCAUCCCACUCCCUGCCCUUGUUCAAGCCCCAGUGUCCAGCCCAGCCCAACUCAUUAUCUCAGCCUUUGCCCUCAUCUCUGUGUUUACCCAAGUCUCUCCCUCUAGUCCCCCCAUCUCUCAUACUCUGCCCCUCUCCCAGCCUAUACUCAAGUCUGGGUUUCAGCUGCCGCCAGCCCUAUUGCUGCUGUUGCUGUUCUCUGUCCUUGGCCCAGGGGCUGGAGGCCUUUUCCUGACUGAUUACUCCACCUGCUCACCCCGCAAGCUGAGUCCUUUCCGCUCCUUUGCCAGCACCGAGCUCUUCCACUUCCAUGUUCCUGAGGACACAUUCCUGGCUGUUUGGAACCUCAUCAUCUUCAAGGAGCAAGGGGGAACCUUUGGGGACCACUGCCCAGACCAAAGUGUGACUGCUCCCUGGCACGCCAACCUUGUGUCAGGCUGGGCAGCAGCACAAGGGUGGCUGGGGUGGGGCAUGGCUAAAGGCUCGCAGGUCACCCAGUGGGUCAGAGGCCAUGAUCUGGAGAAGGCAACUUGGGAGCCCCAGGAGGACAUGCUGGGUCCGGAGCUCCGUGCGCCAGGAAAACGUGACGGUGUUUGGAUGCUUGACUCACGAGGUGCCCUUGAGCCUGGGCGAUGCAGCAGUGACCUGUUCCAAAGAGUCCCUGGCCGGCUUCCUCCUCUCUGUCAGUGCCACCACCAGGGUUGCCAGGCUGCGAAUCCCAUUUCCGCAGACGGGGACCUGGUUCCUGGCCCUCCGCUCCCUGUGUGGGGUGGGGCCUC
rnacentral:sRNA from 1 species